CCUACGGGAGGCUGCAGUGAGGAAUAUUGGUCAAUGGGCGAGAGCCUGAACCAGCCAAGUCGCGUGAAGGAUGACGGCCCUACGGGUUGUAAACUUCGUGUGUCAGGGAGCAAGUGAGUCCACGUGUGGUCUUAGCGAGAGAACCUGAAGAAAAAGCAGAGGCUAACUCCGUGCCAGCAGCCGCGGUACUACGGAGGAUGAGAGCGUUAUCUGGAUUUAUUGGGUUGAAAGGGUGAGUAGGCGGAAUAUCAAGUCAGCGGUAAAAAUUCGGGGCUCAACCCCGUCGUGCCGUUGAAACGGAUGUUCUUGAGUUGGCGAGAGGUAUGCGGAAUGCGUGGUGUAGCGG
rnacentral:rRNA from 1 species